GUGAACGCUGGCGGUAGGCCUAACACAUGCAAGUCGAACGGCAGCACAGUAAGAGCUUGCUCUUACGGGUGGCGAGUGGCGUACGGGUGAGGAAUACAUCGGAAUCUACUUUUUCGUGGGGGAUAACGUAGGGAAACUUACGCUAAUACCGCAUACGACCUACGGGUGAAAGCAGGGGAUCUUCGGACCUUGCGCGAUUGAAUGAGCCGAUGUCGGAUUAGCUAGUUGGCGGGGUAAAGGCCCACCAAGGCGACGAUCCGUAGCUGGUCUGAGAGGAUGAUCAGCCACACUGGAACUGAGACACGGUCCAGACUCCUACGGGAGGCAGCAGUGGGGAAUAUUGGACAAUGGGCGCAAGCCUGAUCCAGCCAUACCGCGUGGGUGAAGAAGGCCUUCGGGUUGUAAAGCCCUUUUGUUGGGAAAGAAAAGCAGCAGGUUAAUACCCCGCUGUUCUGACGGUACCCAAAGAAUAAGCACCGGCUAACUUCGUG
rnacentral:rRNA from 1 species